rnacentral:rRNA from 1 species
AGAGUUUGAUCAUGGCUCAGAAACGAACGCUGGCGGCACGUUUUAAGCAUGCAAGUCGAACGGUAAUCCCGUUUUCGGAUGGGAUGAGAGUGGCGGACGGGUGAGUAACACGUAGGUGAUCUAUCUUAUGGUUGGGGGAUAGCCCAUGGAAACAUGGGGUAAUACCGCAUGAUGUCCUGCAUUUUUUGGAUGUGGGAUGAAAGGCGCGUUAUGUGCCGACUGAGGAUGAGCCUGCGGUCCAUUAGCUGGUUGGUAGGGUAAAGGCCUACCAAGGCGACGAUGGAUAGCCGGCCUGAGAGGGUGGACGGCCACACUGUGGACUGAGACACGGCCCAGACUCUCUACGGGAGGCAGC